rnacentral:rRNA from 1 species
CUGGCUCAGGACGAACGCUGGCGGCGUGCCUAAUACAUGCAAGUCGAGCGAACCACUUCGGUGGUUAGCGGCGGACGGGUGAGUAACACGUGGGCAACCUGCCUGUAAGACUGGGAUAACUUCGGGAAACCGGAGCUAAUACCGGAUAAUCCUUUUCCUCUCAUGAGGAAAAGCUGAAAGACGGUUUCGGCUGUCACUUACAGAUGGGCCCGCGGCGCAUUAGCUAGUUGGUGAGGUAACGGCUCACCAAGGCGACGAUGCGUAGCCGACCUGAGAGGGUGAUCGGCCACACUGGGACUGAGACACGGCCCAGACUCCUACGGGAGGCAGCAGUAGGGAAUCUUCCACAAUGGACGAAAGUCUGAUGGAGCAACGCCGCGUGAGCGAUGAAGGCCUUCGGGUCGUAAAGCUCUGUUGUUAGGGAAGAACAAGUACCGGAGU